ACGAGGGAUGCAAGCGUUAUCCGGAAUUAUUGGGCGUAAAGCGUUUGUAGGCGGGCGAGUGUGUUUAAUGUUAAAUCUUAAAGCUCAACUUUGAAAUUGCGUUAAAAACUGCUUGUCUUGAGUAUGGUAGGGGUAAAGGGAAUUCCCAGUGUAGCGGUGAAAUGCGUAGAUAUUGGGAAGAACACUAAACAGCGAAGGCACUUUACUAGGCUAAUACUGACGCUGAGAAACGAAAGGUAAGGUAGCGAAACGGAUUAGAUACCCGUGUAGUCUUACCCGUAAACUAUGGACACUAAACGGUAAAUUUUUAAUUUACUGUUAAAGCUAACGCGUUAAGUGUCCCGCCUGGGGAGUAUGCUUGCAAAAGUGAAACUCAAAGGAAUUGACGGGGGCCCGCACAAGCGGUGGAGCAUGUGGUUUAAUUCGACGGUACACGAAGAACCUUACCAGGAUUUGACAUGCUAGAUAGUUGCUUGAAAGAGUAACGUGCCGUAAGGAAUCUAGACACAGGUGGUGCAUGGCUGUCGUCAGUUCGUGUUGUGAAAUGUUGGGUUAAGUCCCGCAACGAACGCAACCCUUGUCUUUAGUUAUUUUCUAAAGAGACUGCCUGUAAUAAACAGGAGGAAGGUAAGGAUGAGGUCAAGUCAUCAUGCCCCUUAUGUCCUGGGCUACACACGUGCUACAAUGGGAAAGACAAUGAGCUGCAAAUCUGUAAAUUUAAGCAAAUCUCUUAGACUUUCUCGUAGUUCGGAUUGUGGGCUGCAACUCGCCCACAUGAAGUUGGAAUCGCUAGUAAUCGCCAGUCAGCUAUAUGGCGGUGAAUCCGUUCCCGGGCCU
rnacentral:rRNA from 1 species